rnacentral:lncRNA from 1 species
GGCACUGGGCAGCACUGGUUGCCGCAGGGCAGCCCCCCCCCCAGCAGCCGCCCCCGCCGCAGCGUGUCUGGUCGGUGACUCACGGCCGGGCCGGGGGCCACACGUGUGCCGAGCGCGGGGCUCAGCACGGCCACGUGGCCCAACCCGGUCACCGUGGGGCCCGGGGAGCCUGCGGGAUCCUGCCGGGGCCUGGCGCGGUGCUGGGCCGGUAGGAACGGGGCACGCGGUGCCGUGAGGCCUGUCCGAAGUGGCUCUGGGUGACGGGGACAGCCCGGUGCCACACGCUCGGUGGCCUUGGCGUGGCCGUGCCGUGCCCGUGCGGUGCCGGUGCUGGGUCCCGUGCCGGUGCCGCGCUGGUUCCUGCACAGAGCUGGUGCCGAGGCAGUGCCAGGGCCAACCGGUGCUGGUGCUGCACGGUGCCAACACCGGUGCCGAGGCAGCACGGCUCCUGCGUGGUGCCAGUGCCAUGCCGUGCCAACGGUGUGAGUGCCGGCUGUGGGGCCAGGAGGUGCCAAUACGGUGCCGGUGCCGGUGCCGUGCGGAGCCAAAGCAGUGCCGUGCCCACGCAGUGCCAGUGCCGGUGCCACACAGUGCCAGUGCCGUGCCAAUGCGGUGCCAACUCCGUGCUGGUGCUGUGUGGUGCCGGUGUGGUGCCGUGCCGUCCCAGCGCGGUGCCGGUGCCGUUCCCGUGCCAAGGUGAUGCCAACACGGUGCCGGUGCCAUCCCCGUGCCAACGCGGUGCCAACGCGGUGCCGGUGCCGUUCCCGCCCCCCCCCCCAACCCUCCCCAAAUCCCCUCCCGGUGCCGCCCCCAGCCCGCCCCCGCCCCUCCCCUGCCCUCCCCCGGUGCUCGGCGGGGCCGUGCCGGUGCUCGGCGGCGGCGGCGGCGGCGAUGGCGCUGUCGGGGCCGCCCCGUUCCUGCCUCCUGCUGGCGGCCGCGCUGCUGCUGCCGCUGCCCGGGGCCGCCCCGGACCCCGCCGCGCCCGCGCUCACCGACGCCGAGAUCGAGGCGUUCCUCAGGGGCUUCCUCGGGCCCGACGGGGACCGCGACGGCGACGGCGACGGGGACGGGGACGGGGAUGGCACCGAGCCGGGCUUCGCCACCGAGCAGGGCACCGGCACCGGGCUGAGCACCGACCCUCCGGGGCGGCUGCCGGAGCCCGAGGCACCCAAGAAGGGCCGGAAGGAAAAAGCCCCAAAACCCACCAAAAAGCCCAAGGAGAGAGCACGGGGCUCCAAAAAGGACAAGGACAGGGACAGGGACAAGGAGCGGGACAAGAGCAGGGACAAGAGCAAGGACGGGGACAAGCCCCCCAAGAAGCCCAAGGAGAAGACCCCAAAAGGCUCCGAGAAACCCCCAAAAGGCUCCGAGAAACCCCCAAAAGGAUCCAAGAAGCCCAAGGAGAAGCCGCCCAAGGAGAAGCCACCCAAGGAGAAGCCACCCAAGGCCACCAAGAAGCCCUCGGGCACGAGGCCCCCGGAGCCACCGGACACCCCCUGGGAGCCCCCCGUGGCCCCGCACCCCCCGCGGGGCGAGGACAGAGAGGGGACGUCCCUGUCCCCAGGGCAGCCGCGGGUCCCUGAGGAGGAGGAGGAGGAUGGCAGAGACCGAGGCGGGCUGGAGGAGCUGCCGACGGAGCGCUGGGAGCUGGGGGGGGAGGACUGGCACCCCCCUCCCGAGGCUGAGGUCCCCGCGGAGCCGGAGCCGCCGACGCUGGACUACAACGAGCAGCUGGAGCGGGAGGACUACGAGGACUUCGAGUACAUUCGGCGGCAGCAGAAACCCCGCAAGCCCCCCAGCAGGAAGAAACCCGAGCGAGUCUGGCCCCAGCCGGAGACGCCACCACGUCAG